GUCCUACUUGGGCCAGCGAGGAGGCCAGGGGAGAAUUAGCUGUGGGGUCUUAGAGCAGGUAAUCUUCAUAAAAAGGGAGGGGGAGGGAAGAGAAGGGAAAUAAAAGAUCAGGCUGAAUUCAAAUUAAAGGCCAGGUGGAAUAGCUCUGUCUUACAGGCCUGACAGAAGGAGAUUAAAUCCUGAAGGGCCCUAGUCUCAUGGGACAGAGCAUUCCACCAGGUUGGAGCCAUCACUGAAAAGACCCUGGCCCUAGUGGAGGAUAGUCUGACUUCGUUAGGGCCCGGGACCUCUAAACUAUGGUUAUUCAUGGACCUUAAGGUCUUCUGCGGGGCAUACCAGGAGAGUAGGAGAAGAACCAUGUAUACCCACCUUGAACAACUUGGCGGUGGGGGGAGGUGGGAUAGAAAUGCAAUAAAUAAAUCAGCAAGCAAGUGGGCUCUGUUCAGACUGGUAGGUUAUAGGGCUGGCGCAGGACUAUUGUAUGUGCUCCCUCCAGUUCUUGAGCACCAGAGGCAAGGUGUGAGAUUUGACCCAUGGAUGUCACAGAUCUCUUAAUUGGACCAAUCAAGGAACAGCAGUUCCCCAGCAUAUAAAGAUGGGAGCGUGUGAUGUCAUUUAAUUGCUGCUUUAUUUGCAAAACUUGUGGUGCUAACACACUUUCCCCCUCCAAAUUUUUUACUCAGCGGGGUGGCUUUCACUCUUAAAGUUAUCACUUUGUGUCACAGAGGGAGGCUUGGAAAUCGAUAGCAUUCAGUACAUGAACAAGCCACGCAGAAGCCCAAGCAUAAAAAGGAAGGCAACAUGUUUCAAACCAACCCCCUCCUUUAAAAAAGAGAAAAGACUGCAAAAUUUAGAUGAGUG